GAUGAAGAACGUAGCGAAAUGCGAUAAGUAAUGUGAAUUGCAGAAUUCAGUGAAUCAUCGAAUCUUUGAACGCACAUUGCGCCCGCCAGUAUUCUGGCGGGCAUGCCUGUUCGAGCGUCAUUACAACCCUCAGGCCCCCGGGCCUGGCGUUGGGGAUCGGCGGAAGCCCCCUGCGGGCACAACGCCGUCCCCCAAAUACAGUGGCGGUCCCGCCGCAGCUUCCAUUGCGUAGUAGCUGACACCUCGCAACUGGAGAGCGGCGCGGCCACGCCGUAAAACACCCAACUUCUGAAUGUUGACCUCGAAUCAGGUAGGAAUACCCGCUGAACUUAAGCAUAUCAAUAAGCGGAGGA
rnacentral:misc_RNA from 1 species